AACGAACGCUGGCGGCAGGCUUAACACAUGCAAGUCGAACGCGUGUAGCAAUACACGAGUGGCGCACGGGUGAGUAACGCGUGGAUAUCUGCCUUUUGGUUCGGAAUAACCCCGGGAAACUGGGGCUAAUACCGGAUGGUUCCUUCGGGAUAAAGAUUUAUCGCCAAAAGAUGAGUCCGCGUACGAUUAGCUAGUUGGUGAGGUAAUGGCUCACCAAGGCGACGAUCGUUAGCUGGUCUGAGAGGACGAUCAGCCACACUGGGACUGAGACACGGCCCAGACUCCUACGGGAGGCAGCAGUGGGGAAUAUUGGACAAUGGGGGCAACCCUGAUCCAGCCAUGCCGCGUGAGUGAUGAAGGCCUUCGGGUUGUAAAGCUCUUUUGGCGGGGACGAUGAUGACGGUACCCGCAGAAUAAGCCCCGGCUAACUUCGUGCCAGCCGCCGCUGUAAUAC
rnacentral:rRNA from 1 species